AACGAACGCUGGCGGCAUGCCUAACACAUGCAAGUCGAACGAGACCUUCGGGUCUAGUGGCGCACGGGUGCGUAACGCGUGGGAACCUGCCCUUAGGUUCGGAAUAACUCCCCGAAAGGGGUGCUAAUACCGGAUAAUGUCUUCGGACCAAAGCUUUAUCGCCUUUGGAUGGGCCCGCGUUGGAUUAGCUAGUUGGUAGGGUAAAAGCCUACCAAGGCGACGAUCCAUAGCUGGUCUGAGAGGAUGAUCAGCCACACUGAGACUGAGACACGGCCCAGACUCCUACGGGAGGCAGCAGUGGGUAAUAUUGGACAAUGGGCGAAAGCCUGAUCCAGCAAUGCCGCGUGAGUGAUGAAGGCCUUAGGGUUGUAAAGCUCUUUUACCCGGGAUGAUAAUGACAGUACCGGGAGAAUAAGCUCCGGCUAACUCCGUG
rnacentral:rRNA from 1 species